AGUGAAGUCGCGGGAAUUUGUGGCUGAAUCCAAGUUUUACAUUUUCACUCCUCUCUACUGCUUAUUAUGGACUUGUCUAAAGCCAGGAACUUUUACAAUAACAACACAACGCUCCCUGCUUCAUCCAACAAAGAGGGUGUUUUGCGGACACUGCGUUUUACAUCGAAGUCCACAGAGCGCGGCAGCAGGCUAACAGGCUAACAGGCUAACGGUAACUGUCAACAGCUCUCAAGCUAGGUUAGCAUCCUACCAAACUGGAAAGCAAAUACCAUGUUCCGGUCCUAGCAAGGUGUUAAAGGGCAGACGGACCCCAGAGUUGAGGCCACUACCAGAGUCCCACCCUAACACCCCUGCAAAACCAGCUGAAAAGAGGCUGAAAGGAAAACCAUUUGCUUACCGCACCUCCAUGAAAACACCCUUCGGUUUAAUGAGGCUGCUUUGAAACAUCACAUUGAAGAAAAGAUGAUAAAUAAGAAAAGAUCCAAGGUUUUUUUUUUCAUAUCCAUCCGGCUCUGCGGAGGGGACUUGAGAGAUCGGCUAUGCAUGACUGAGCAGAUCCAGAGUAAAUAAUCAUCUAAUUUGAGCUUAAUGGGAAAGCAGUAAAAAGAUGGAAGUGGUGUCUGGAGUUUUUCUCAAGGGUCCUAUGUUGAAACACAUGACCUUUUGGAGCACAGGACCUUGGAACAUAGAGCAAACAACAAAGGCUUUGGAAAAUCUUGAUGAGUUCAGGUGAGGUAGUCAUGCUUUUGAUCAUCUCCUAUGAAAACCUAGUUUUGCAAUUUUAUAAUGGGAGCAAAAAUAACAUAAUAAGAUUUUAAAAGGUUGUUUCAUAUAUUUUCCCCCUUGUAUUCUUGAAGUGUGAUUUCGCUGAUAGUUGGGAUAUCUGAUGUUUUUUCCUCACACUUCUUAUUCUUUUACAUGUUUUGUACAUGCGGACUGUGCCUAUCACAUCUCACAGGUUGUUUUCAUUGAAGCACUUUGUGCUUUGUUUUACCAACAGACCCUGAGUAGAGCAUGGGUCCAUUCUUACAAAACUGAAACUAAAUUUGUUUUACAACGCCUAAUCCAUUUCUGACAUCUGCUUAUUCUUCCAGCAUAAUAGGACCCCCGAUCCCUUUUUUUUCUGUGUGUACAUGUGUGUGUGUGAGACAGAGAGAGCAAGAGCUGCUACCCCUCAGCCUUUGCCAAAUCCAUUUGACUUCACACAAAAGUUAAUUUAUUAAAUCUUUAAUAGGCCCUUUUAUUAUGUAUGCUUAUAAAGAUCCUAAUAGAGAUGUAAGGUAAUGAAAUUCUGCUUUCCUAAAAAGCUCAUGAAUCUCCAUAACUUUGUUAUUUCAAAGAAAACCUGUUCCGAUUGAGUCAGAUGUUUUAUUUACAUAAAGUGUUCAUUCAGUUUAAUUAACUAAAUAUGAUUUAUCUUGCUUCCCCCAGCUUCCAACACACCCUUUAUAAAGAUACAGUAUUGUUUAGUAGCAGAAUUUUUAAUAAAGGUAAUUACAGAAAUGCUGGAGUUGUAGUUUCUUGCGUUUCCACGGGUGUAAAAAACAUGGUGGUGCUGCUUGCUACAGGUGAUACUUCACUAACUGAUCAAAC